AUAAACACAUGCAUGUACUUAUCCUCUGAAACAGCCACACACUACCAGCAAACCCUAUUUUCUUUCAUGGGAUUUUUACCUCAGUUGACACUUUUCAUUUGUUGUUGUUGUUAAAAUAAAUAUGAUGCAGGGAGAAAAGUGGGUGAACGCUGAGAACUAUUGGUGGGUGGAUAUUUUCAUCUGACCAAUAUGUUCUGAAAUGGUUUUCUAGAGUGGGUUUUGGAAAGGGUUGGAAUGAGGGGAGGUAGGAGUCUUGUCAUUUGGAAAGUCAAAGCUAGUUUUAAUGAGGUUCAGCAUGGAAAGAAGGUAUAGAAAGUGAUGUGUUCCAAACAUGGUUCUAAGUAGAAGUGUGGGGGCCAAAUCGAGGAAGUUAGGAGGUUUUUAGUAGUUAAGGAAUGAGAUGACUAAAGAUUCUGAGGGGAUGGGGAAGAAUAGGUAUUUGUGUGAGACAAAAGGAAGAAAAAAGAAAUGCGACAUUCAGAGGCAGUAGUAUAGAGAAUGAACUGGAGAAUCUAGAAAAAGCUGCUAUAAAAUAAAGUAUUAACGAAAAUUUGAAGAGAUAACAUUCAUUUAACAAUGGUAAAUAAUAGUCUUCUGUGUAUCCAGCCCAAUGCUAAAAGCUGGGUUGGGCAUAGGGCAAGGUGGUCAUGAUAAGUGAAAUAUGAUUGCAUCUUAUUUCUUCAUAUACUUCAGGCUUCAGUUCAAGAGAUUUCUAUACAAGAAAAGAGGCACAUUUGGUUAAUUGCCUAGUCUUUAUUUUUUUCUUUUAAAAAUAUGAGGCCAGGUAAAUUCCCUCUCUUUGGAGUCAAGUUGGCCAUUUUAGCAAAGUAACUCAGUCCCACAAGAACCCUAAAUCCAAGCCCUCUCACUUAUCCACACAGAGGUGAAGCAUGCUUUUCUUUUAUAAGGAAUUCAAGUUUACACAUGUAUCUGGAUGUUUACUAGUAACAAAUCCCCUUUAUCCAUAGCACAUAAAGGGCUCAACCUUUCACUGGGAUCUGGGAGACAGAGGCUAACAACAAAUUUUCAACAUAGCUAGACCUAAAAGACGUUGAAAUCUUCACAUUCCAAAGAUGCCUUAUCUACCCUUUGACCCAUUCUUUGAGAUGAGAUGUUGAACUAGUAAAGGUAGGAGAGGUGAACAACAUUCUGACUUCUCUGGAGUUUUCAUGUGAUAGAUAUCCUAGAUGAGACACUUCUAUGUUGAAAUAAAUGCUGUAAUAAUUUAAGUAAAAUUACUUUCUGCUGUGGAAAUGCAGACCAGCUGCUCACUGAAAUGGAUUUCUUCAUAUCCUUGAGGACUGUUGAGCCACCCCUGUAUUCUUUUCUUAGACACAAUAAUAAUUCUAAUUUUUCCUCACUUGGCUCAUUUUUAACCCUUUUAUCUUUAUUAUUUCUGAAAUCUCUCCAAGGUCUUCAUAUGUCCCAAAGUCAUAGAUGUAAGACUGGACACCGCUUUAAUUGUAGCCUGAGGGUUAGGUGGUGGUUAUUCCAUUUAUACAUGGUAGUAUUCAAGUUUACUUUUAAAAUAUAAAUUCUUUGUGACUAAUUAAUUUGUGGUUCUCUGCUGCUGCCUUCUUGGCUGUCUACCACUCCUCAUUUCUCUUAUCAUUUUUUGCAUUGCUAAUACAAAAGCAAUUGUUACUUAUUUUUCUAAUAUUUUAGUUGUAGAUGAACAUACAGUAUCUUUAUUUUUAUGUGGUGCUGAGGAUGGAACCCAGUGCCUCACACAUUCGAGGCAAGCACUUUACCACUGAGCUACAGCCAGCCCCAGCCCCUGUUGCUUAUUUUAUGAGUUAUUAUUAUUAUUUUUUUUUGGUACUGGGGUUGAACCCAGAGGCAUUUAAACACAGAGCCACAUCCCCAGCCCUUUUUAAUAUUUUAUUUAGAGACAGGGUCUCACUGAGUUGCUUAGAGCCUGCUAAGUUGCUGAGUCUGGAUUUGAACUUGCUAUCCUCCUGCCUCAGCCUCCUGAGCUGCUGGGAUUACAGGCAUGUGCCACUAUGCCUGGGUUGUUCCUUAUUUUACUUUAAUUUUUUUCAGUACUGGGGGUUGAACCUAGUGGCACUAUACCACUGAGCUACAUCCCCAACCUUUUUCAUUUUGAGACAGGUUCUUGCUAAGUUGCCAACUUGUGAUCUUCCUGCCUUAGCCUCCCAAUUAAUUUUAUUUUUAUUUCUUCUUUUAGUUAACUGUAUCUCUCUGUAUACUCUAUCUCUGUGUGUAUAUGGCUUUCUAUCUGUUUAUUUUUUUUUGUACUAGAGAUUAAACCCAGAGGUACUUUACCAUUGAGCUACAUCCCCAGUCCUUUAAAAAAAAAAAAAACUUUUAAAAAAUAUGUUUUUAGUUGUAGAUGGACACAGUGCCUUUAUUUUAUUUUUAUAUAGUGCUGAGGAUCGAACCCAGUGCCUUCUACAUGUGAGGUGAGCACUCUAACUCUACCACUGAGCUACAACCCCAGCCUCCCAGUCCUUUUCUUUUUUUAAGAAAUAUUUUCUUAGUUGUAGAUGGACACAGUAUCUUUAUUUCUUUUUAUGUGGUACUGAGGAUCGAACCCAGGGCCUCACACGUGCAUGGCAGGCGCCCUACCACUGAGCCCCAGCCCCAGCCCCCAGUCCUUUUCUUUUUAAAAAUUUUAAGGCAGAGUCUCAGUAAGUUGCUUAGAGCCUUGCUAAAUUGCUGAGGCAGGCUUCAAAAUUGCCAUCCUCCUUCCUCAGCCUCCAGAGCCUCUGGGAUUCCAGGCAUGUGUCACCAUGCCUGGCUCUAUGCUUUUAAAUAUAAAGAACUCAUUUCUUACAAAACAGAAGUUUGUGAUAUUACAAAAGGUCUCUUUAAAUUGCUGCAGGCUUUUUAAAAAUAGAUGUUUUCUUUUUCUUUCUAUUCUUUUUCUUUUUGGGGUAUCAGGUAUUGAACACAGGGGUGCUUAACUACUGAGCCACACCCCCAGCCCCCUUUUAAAAUAUUUUAUUUGUAGACAAGGUCUCACUGAGUUGCUUAGGGCUUCACUAAUUUGAACUCAUGAUCCUCCUGCCUCUGCCUGCUGAGACACUGGAAUUACAGGCCUGUACAACUGCGCUGGCUAAAUAGGUAUUUAAAUAUUGUGGUUUUAUAUGUUCACAUAUAGGCAAUAAACUACUUGAACUAGAGAAACUGAAGGUAAAGGGUUAAACAGCAUUGCCAAGUGAAGAUGAAUUAGAAAUCAGGAGAAAACAGUAGUUCUUAACUAUAGUAACAUGGUCAGGUACUUGGAAAUUUUAUUUAUUUAUUUAUUGCUUUUUAAGAAAAUAUUAUACCAAUAAUGUCUUGCAUUUUUAGUCUAAAAUACAAUCUUUUGUCUAGAUACAGUCAACUUUUUUAACAGCUGUGCUAAGGGAGGCAUAUACAUUUUAAUUUUAUGUAUUUUUGUUCUAAUAUUUAAGUAUGGUAGUAUCUACUAUUCACAAGACUUAAAAUAUUUCAUAAUAAGUCACCAGAAUGAAGACCCAGAAAGAUCUGAAAGAAAGUAGAAAUAGUACUGGAAUAGGAACUGGAAUAAGAACCAGACUUGAGGUGGCUGGAGCUGGUUAGGGGACCUUAGGCAAAUUGCUUCACCAUUUUGGGCCCGUUUUAUCAACUAUAAAAUGAGGAGAUUUGAGUAAAUGGUCUCUGAGGUUUCUUUUCCUCCUUCCUCCCUCCCCCUCUCCCUCCCUCCCCCUAUCCUUCCCUCCAUCUCUAUCUCUGUUUCUCUGUCUCUUUCUUUUUUGGUUCUAGGGAUUGAACCCAGGGCCUCAUGCACACUAAGCAUACUCUCUACUACUGUGCUAUAUCUUCAGCCUGCUGAGGUAUUUUAAAACUCUAGUUUUUAAGACUUCCCCUGUUUGCCAAAGAGUGGAGUAAGUCUCAGAGGUAAUAUAUUACCAAAAAAGCGAAAGCACAUUUUUUCCCCUGAGUAUGAUAGAGUUUAAUGUAGUGUACUUUGUUUACUUUUCCAGAAAUGAGUGGCUCUUCACUUAUCCUGAUUACAUUUUGUUUGCCCACAUCCCAUUCUAUCAAGUCAUGAACACCCUAUUGAAACAUGUUGUUGAUUGGAUUUACAGUUACCAUAAUUUUAUCCUAGGUCUUCUAGGUAAAAGUUUUCAAUAGUCACCUCAUAUCUAUAUGGAGUUAUUCUUAUUCAAAAUUUAUAAAUUAUAACUGUUGAUUGUUUUUAUAAUGAAAGUGCCUAUUUUGGUAAAAUGUUUUGUGGUGAUAAAAAUUCAAAAGUAAUUAAUACAAGUUGACAAAACCCAAACAAAACAUGAAUUUGUCAAGUAAAAAGUGAAAGAUUUUUCCUUAGUCCUCCCCACUCCCAUUCACCAAAAAUAACUUUUAAUUUGUUCUGUGUAUUCUUAGACCUUUUUUUAAUGUGUGUGUUAUGUGUGUAUAUUUAUUUAGUACACAUCAUACAUGUAGGAAUACCCCCACACGUGUGUAUAGUUUUUUUUUUAAAAAACAAAGUGGGAUAUUAUAUGUACAAUUUUGAAACUUAAUUUUUCACUAUGCAACAUAUUGUAUACUUCCUCAUGCAUUAAUACUUGGGAAUUUACCUCAUUUAAAAAAAUGGCUGUAUAACAUUUUAUAUGUGGUUUUAUCACAAUUUAGUGGUUGACCUAUUGAUAGAAAUUCACCUCCAAUCUCACUGUUAUAAAUGAUGGAUGCUACAUAUAAUCUCACCUGUGUAUAAAUACUCCUGUAGAAUAGAUUUUGAGAGAAGGAAUUGCUGAGUCAAAGUGUGUGUGCAGUUUAUAUUUUGAAAGAUACAGCUAAAUUGCCUUUUUAAAGAGUGCAGUUUCUAUCUCCCUACCAAAAGUAGAGAAAUUCCUGUUUCCCCACAAGAAGUUUAUUUGCCAAAAAUGGUAAAAAUUUAAACCAUUGAUAAUUAUCCAAACUAUUUGGUGAAAAAAAUGGUAUUUCAUAGUUUAAAUUUACAUUUUCUGGUACAUUUAGUUAUAAUGAUACCAACUGGUAGGUUUUUUAGUUUCCCCACAUAGUUCAUUUUGGUGGUUCUAGAAGCAGUAUCUGUUGCUUCGAGUUGAGGGUACUUCCACUUCUAAUGAUAAAUAAACCAUCACUCUUUUCUUAUAUAUUUUUUGACACAUUAUAUGUGUACAUAUUUAUGAGGUGUAAUGUGAUGUUUUGAUUCUUGUAUACACUGGGUAGUAACCAAUACAAGAUAAUUAACAUAUUCAUCAUCUCAAACUUUUUUUUUUGGGGGGGGGGGAACUGUGGAUUAAACCCAAGGGUGCUUAACCACUGAGCCACAUCCUCAUCCCUUUUUAUUUUUUACUUUGAUACAGGGUCUCACUAAGUUGCUGAGGCUAACUUUGAAUUUGCAAUCCUCCUGCAUCAGCCUCCUGUGUCUCUGGGAUUAAAUGUGUGCACACCACACCUGGCUCAUCUUAAAGUUUU
rnacentral:lncRNA from 1 species